rnacentral:rRNA from 1 species
UGCAGUCGACGGUAACGGAAGCAGCUUGCUGCUUCGCUGACGAGUGGCGGACGGGUGAGUAAUGUCUGGGAAACUGCCCGAUGGAGGGGGAUAACUACUGGAAACGGUAGCUAAUACCGCAUAAUGUCGCAAGACCAAAGAGGGGGACCUUCGGGCCUCUUGCCAUCGGAUGUGCCCAGAUGGGAUUAGCUUGUUGGUGAAGUAACGGCUCACCAAGGCGACCAUCCCUAGCUGGUCUGAGAGGAUGACCAGCCACACUGGAACUGAGACACGGUCCAGACUCCUACCGGAGGCAGCAGUGGGGAAUAUUGCACAAUGGGCGCAAGCCUGAUGCAACCAUGCCGCGUGUAUGAAGAAAGCCUUCCGGUUGUAAAGUACUUUCAGCGGGGAGGAAGGGGUUAAGGUUAAUAACCUUAGCCAUUGACGUUACCCGCAGAAGAAGCACCGGCUAACUCCGUGCCAGCAGCCGCGGUAAUACCGAAGGUGCAAGCGUUAAUCGGAAUUACUGGGCGUAAAGCGCACGCAGGCGGUCUGUCCAGUCGGAUGUGAAAUCCCCGGGCUCAACCUGGGAACUGCAUUCCAAACUGGCAAGCUUG